CAGCAGCCACGGGAAUACAGAGGGUGCGAGCGUUAAUCGGAUUUACUGGGCGUAAAGCGUGCGUAGGCGGCUAAUUGAGUCGGAUGUGAAAUCCCCGAGCCUAACUUGGGAAUUGCAUUCGAUACUGGUUAGCUAGAGUGUGGGAGAGGAUGGUAGAAUUCCAGGUGUAGCGGUGAAAUGCGUAGAGAUCUGGAGGAAUACCGAUGGCGAAGGCAGCCAUCUGGCCUAACACUGACGCUGAGGUACGAAAGCAUGGGGAGCAAACAGGAUUAGAUACCCCCGUAGUCCCUGUCUCUUAUAC
rnacentral:rRNA from 1 species